UGGUCAGGGAGCGGCUGCACCGAGUUUUGAGCAACCGUGGUGAAAUGUGGCUCUGUUGGACUACAGAUGGGCACUGCAACCUGCAGUGCUGCAUCCCGCCGUUACCUGCGUCCCCUCCUUUACCUGUGUCACCACCAGCGUGUUGCCACUCUGCAGCUCCUGGAUGCAGCUCCGCAGCAGCUCCGAUGCCCGCCGGAGGCUGGCCGUGAAGGGAUGCAGUUUCUGUGGGUGGACACACAGCAGGAGACAACGUGGGGACAGGAGGAGGGGGCAGGGACAGGCUCACCUGCACCCCGGGCAGCUUCUCGCGGUGCGUGACCAGCUCCUUCUCGGCCAGCAGCAGCACGGUGUGGAUGCAGCCCGGUGAGAUGCUCUGCGGGGAGGAGUCACCACCCCAAAUGGCAAACCCCGUGGUGCAGCCCUCGGGGCUGCCCAGCUCAGCUGGGGCUGGAAUCUCCUGCCCUUGGGCCUGGUGGGAGAGCAGGAGAGCAAGUCCCUUCUCAGGGCCAUGGGCUCUAAGUGGACGCCCCUGCCAGGCUGGUGGCUGUUGGACCAUUGGUCUUCUCAUGCUUGCUCUUGCCUUGUGCAGCUCCCAGGAGGGACUGGAGCCUGGCUCUGGAACAGCCCCACCGCAGGGUAAAGCCCAGCUCCCAGCUCUGCCUCUACAGGGUCACCAUCCGCAGCGACCCAUCCAGCUCCUAAUGCUGCCCAGAGAGAUGAGCCAGCUCUGCGCCCUGCCCAGGGUCACCCAUACACAGCCCUGGCACACACAGAACCAGCUCUCUUGAAACCAAA